CCGCGCAGUGUGCGCGGAGAGCCGGGGUGGAGAUUGGCAGGGGGCGGGGAGAGGAACCGAACUGACGUGUGAGGCGUGGGAGCCAGGAGGGGCUCUAGCGUAGCCGCUUCCCUCUCGCUUUGCCAACCGCGAGGCUGCCCUAGUUGGAAACUGGGGAGUCAGGGGUCUCGUCACUUACGAAGCGGAUUGGCUCCUGGACUCUGGGGCCUCGAACUGUCGGGGAGACUGACCGGCAAGAGCCCCUGCAGCCGAGUGGCCGGGAGCCAGUCGGAUUGGCCGGAGCUGGCGUCUGGCCGAGCCGUCGGAGCUUGGCUGGUCCAAGCUUGCAGCUGGCCCGGGCUAUCCGAAUGGCAUGUCCCAAAGAUGGGAUGCCCCUUUCACCUGGGUCCCAGAAUAAUGGAACAAACUUGAAGAUGACUGUGAUUGACAAAUAAUAUGAAGAGAAAGAAUCCUUCCUGUCCUUUUUGUCUGGAGGAUCAUGUGAUUUGCAGACAGUGAACCCAAGGCCUCAUAGCCCUGAUGCUGCACUUUGCUCUUUUACAAGAGUUGCUGCUUUCCCAACACCCCCACCUGCCAGGAGGAGAGGAAACCAGAGGUACUUGCUAUGACCAUCUUUUUGGCACAAUCUGUUGCUGGUACAUUGAGUGUCAGCUACUGCUUUUUUUUACUUCUCUUUAUUAUUAAUUCUGGGCCCCCGAGCAAAAGUUUUUGAAGGCCUUUCCCCUCCUUGUUAAUUAUAACAUGGUAUCAGUCAGAGUCCAAGCAGAAAACAGAUGAGCAUUCAAACAGAGUAAUUUGAGGAGAAUUCAAUAAAGAAACUCUUCACAAAGGUGUGGACACUAUUUACAGAAACCAACAAGGGAUGGCACCGUCCCCAGGACUUGUGAUAGGGAGAGGCAUUACUACUGCAGGCCUGAAGAUGGAGAAUAUGGAGCUAUUUCCACACCCUGGAGAGGGUGGUUGUAUGGAGAGGACGGCCUGAAAGGAGAGUUUGCAGCCAACACACAGCAAGAGAGCAAGGGAAAGAAAUAACCCAGCCUCGCUUUUCUUCUGCUGGUGCCUCUCACUGCCAAACCUGACCCUGAGCUGGGCAUGAAGGGAGCCAGCUGACAUCUGUAUGGGUCAGCCUCCUGGGGCACAGAGCAGGACAGAACUGAGGAGAGAAGGAGUCUGGAGAGGCUAAUGGAAGAAACCACAGAAAGCAAAUUCCUCCCUAAGGUACAGCUGGUUCUUAAGCAGUUUCUGUACUGUUAGGAAUGCGGCAACGUAUCUUGGAAGAACUUAAUUAAGGCCUCCACCCUCUGCUAGCCACCCUGAGGUUGUGCCUGUCAGAAUUACAGUUUUCUGCAAGGUUUUUCCUGAUGGUCAGUGUUUAGUCCCCUCCACCUUCAAGGAAAGGACACAUGGUAAUUUUAUUUAAAAAAAGACAUGUAGAAGUCCUUCCUUUUAGUCAGGUGCUGGAGUUUCCCCACUUUAGAGCAAAGGAGAAACAUCUAGACAGAAAGGCAGUUUCACUCUGAAGUAAUUGAAGCUUAAGCUUUGGGGUCCCUUGCUUGGACCUCUGUGAAUGUUGGGAGUUUCUGGGGUUGGUAGAAUGUUCUAAGUGGGGGAGGGAAGUCAGAUUGCACUUCUAUGUAAACAUUUCUAGUAAAUUGCCCAGAGAAGUGUCACAAGGAAGAGAUCUGGCCUUCCAAAGUUCCAAAGUUCCAAGGUAAUUUGUCAUGAAUCCUUUUCUUAUCCUUAAUAAAUAUUCAUUUUUUGUA